AUUCCAGCUCCAGUAGCGUAUAUUAAAGUUGUUGCAGUUAAAAAGCUCGUAGUUGGAUUUCUGACUUCAAACACCUGACCCUCCCUCGCUAGAGGUGUGUGUGCCGGAGUGUUUGUAUCAUCCUUUCAGUGAUCGGUUCUACCCUUAACCGGGUCGGAACUGUUAACUGGAUCUUUUACUUUGAAGAAAUUGGAGUGUUUAAAGCAGGCUUACGCCAGAACAUAUUAGCAUGGAAUAAUAAUUUAGGACUUUUGUUCUAUUUUGUUGGUUUCUAGGACGAAAGUAAUGAUUGAUAGGGAUAGUUGGGGGUGCUAGUAUUCGGCGGCCAGAGGUGAAAUUCUUUGAUCCGCUGAAGACUAACUUAUGCGAAAGCAUUCACCAAGGAUGUUUUCAUCG
rnacentral:rRNA from 1 species